GGGCCUGUAGCUCACUGGUAGAGUAUCGCCUUGGCAUGGCGGGGGCAGCGAGUUCGAUUCUCGCCAGGUCCA
rnacentral:tRNA from 1 species